GCCUGGGUGGCUCAGUCGGGUGGGAGUCUGACUUCGGCUCAGGUCAUGAUCUCACAGUUUGUGGGUUCAAGCCCCACUUUGGGCU
rfam:Felis catus isolate Cinnamon breed Abyssinian chromosome E1, whole genome shotgun sequence.